CCCCAAUUAGCUUAUUAUUUUUGGGGGACCAAUUAGCUUAUUAUGCCAACAAACUUAGACUACGACCAUGUCUCGAUCGAACUUCGAUGGAAAAAUCAAACGAACCGCUUACAACAAAAAAACAAAAUCCCACCAAAUAUCAACCCUCUCCGAUCAACACCACCCCGACCCAAUCCACCUUCUUCCCCAUCCAUGGUCACCCAACGCCGCCUCGUCCACCUCCGUUUGCCGCGGCAUGGGCUCCCCGAGCCACACGCCACCAGGGCUCCUCGAGCCACCUGUCGGAUACCCAUGCCGCCGGUAGGUGGGUGUUUGCUGCGAGAUUCAGCUGGGGGUGGCUGUGAAGGGAUGCACUAGGCGGAGGAGGUUCGCCACGCGCCCCGACUUCGAGUCGUCCUACCUCCGCAGGGCUCCCACGGCUCCUCCCCCGCACCCGGAUACAUCUCCCUCGUCCUACCUAGGCCCCUCCAAGGCGGCCCGCUAUCGGAGCAGAUAACGGCGGCCGCAGGAGGUAUGUGAGGGUGUCUGCACACAAGGUCCCCGUGGAUCGACCUCUACAGCCGCCGAUGCCUAUCCUGCCCUUCGCCAGCCCUCUCCUCAAGCUUGUCCACUUCACCUCGCCGACCCUAUGUUUCGGAUCCCGACCGGAUCCGUACUGUAGAUUACUUUCCUCAAAUUGUUUUUUAGAUUCCUCACCAUUUAGUUCUCCCCUCAGCAGCCCCUCGUGCAGCCCACAUGCUUCUCCCUCAACAGCCCCGCCGGAUUCCAACGAGUUCUCCCACGCGAGCAUAACCGAGUGGCUUCGUCCACUACCUGCAGUCCACGGCGCGAUGGCCCCCUUCCGCUGGGUUGUUGGUCGCCCUCCUCCCCUGGAUGCCUCCGCUUUCGUGCGUCUACAUCUCGCGUGCAACAUAUGGAUGGGUGGCUACAGUUCAGUUGCAAUUAGCAGUUAGUGCCAGGUUAGUGGGUGCAACAAGUAGUGUGCGCUGCUUCAGAUUACUACCAAGGGCACGUGCAGGGCGAACCGUACCAGGACCCUCCGGUGAUGGCGCCGCCGCACUACGCCAUGCCGCCGCUGUGGGUACAACCUAGCUUCCUUGAAGGCUGGUAAGUUAAACACUUGCCUCGUGCAUGGCUAAUUACUUUGUCCCCGACCGCUACUUUUGUUCAAUCUUUGGCUUCCUAGAUUUUGUAAUCAGCUUCGAUCAACAAAAUUAAGGGCGUGUUUGGUUGCCUACAUCGUUUUUUUUGACCAUUUGUAUACUUGUUCCAGAUUUGUAUACUUGUUCCAGUUGGACCUGGUUGAGCAAAUGCAGACAAAAAAUGAACAUCUGCAUGUUGAUUGGUUGCGUGCAUGUCCUCUCCCUGCAUCGUAGCGAUGCCUCUACGCAUCGUGUUUGGUUGCUCGCAUUCUUACACACAUUCACACCAAACACACCAGCGCCACAACACAACUAUGACGAUGAACUGGACGAAGAUCAUAAAGUUCUUCAGCCUAAUGGUCGACCUACCUUGCCAACGGCAAACUUGCUGCAUGAAUGCUCUCGCACAUACUUGGAGUAAGCAUCUUCUGCCGCGUACCUAGUCUUAAACCCUCCCGUGUGUUUACUCUUGCCGUACCCUGAAACUUGUUUGUUGCAAGCUUUUCAUAAACUGUAAACCCCUGAAACCCUACCUUUGAAGACCACAUACCACUUGCCCGGGCACAAGAGCAAUAAGUUCAAGCAACAAACAUUGCAACACACAUACAAUAAGCAAUGAAGAACUCUAGGAGCAAACAGUGAAGCAGAAGAACAUUAGUAAGCAUGCAUGAUCAUAGCAAGUUCAACCUACACUACUUUGAUGUCAUCCUAACACCACAUCCAAAAAUGUGUGCACUCCAAACAGCCCAUUUUCGUCUCGCGCGGGUCUGGCUGGGCCUAAUGCAGGCAACCAAACGCCUACUAACUCCCUAACUAGUGAUUAGUAGCUGCCUGAUCAACGAUUGCUGCUGCGACCCGUCUAUUAUCUUCGUCGGCUCGAAUAGGAUCAGCCAAGCCAAGGCACCGGACCCGGCGUGCGUGAACUGUAGACAGAGAUGGACUAAAGGAUAUUUACCACGUCUGUUGCCAUGCUAUCUAUGAUCUCUCUAUAUAUAUGCUAUGUAUUCGCUUAUUGUUAUCUCAUUUCAGUGUUGCAUGUGUAACUCGAAUCCAUCAAUAACAAAGGCUUCAUGAUCUUA